AAUGCUUGUCUGUAGCUGGUUGAAAUUGGGCCAAAUUAGAAAAAGGUCAAGCAUUUGGUCCCCUUCAACCAGCUGUAGUUGGCAGAACAA
rnacentral:pre_miRNA from 1 species